AGGCAAUAAUACAGAUUCAAACUCACCGUGCCCAUUCCUUGUGGGGAAAAUGGCUCCACCUGCCAAAAACCUCAGGAGUUUCAUCUGAUUUUCAUCUUCUCAAGGUAAACAGUGGAAGUAUUGACUCAGGAUGGCAUUCAUUCAGCAAAGCUGCUCAGUCUGGGAUUGUCUGCAGACAGUAGUCCUUGCUGUCACAAGCUGUCCAUUAAAAGAGGGUUAGAAGCAACAGCCUGAAGCAGAUUUGACCUCUCCGUGGCCAAAUCUGCAGAAGUGCAGAUGCAGGAUUUGGUUUUAAGGACUGACAUGCUCAGGAUGGACUCAAACCUCCUGCCAGCUCGAAGGCCAGAGGUGUUACUCCUGUGAGGAGCAUCUCACGUGCUGGGGGACAUCCCUCAGCUGUGUCCCCAGAGACCUGCAGAGAAACACAGGAUCAGGCACAUCUGCACACCAGCUGAUAGGACUGGAGGGGCAGAGGAUGGAACACACAGCCAUGGAGCCUCCAAGUACAGAUUUUUUGGAUAUUACCUUUGCUGUACUGACUAAUAUUCACUGGUGCAAAUCAAAUGGAGAUACAGGUUCUCCAAAAAAAGGGUGCCAACAGACUGGAGCUAUCUCCUCAGAGUUAGCCCAGAGCAUGCUUCCUGAUGGCUUUGAAUUGUGCUUCUCCUGCAGGAGUGACAGCUGGAGAGACCCACUGAGAAGUGAACAAGGAAGAUGGAGGAGCACUGACAGAAACAAUCCCACCCCUGAUGUUUCACUUUGCUACUCCAUUUCUCUUCCCUCAUUUUUGCUUCCCCUUUCCUCUGAUAAAAUUUUUCCUGAAGCUUAAUUUUUUUCAAUGUUCUUUUUCUUUUUCAGAACAAUUAAUUCCAUGUUAAAAAAUUUGUCUAAGCGAUGUUUUCCAAGUCCAUAACAGCUCAAAUUUUACAGUAAAAUAAAAAUCUCCUGUAUAAUGUGGUGAAGGUUUUA
rnacentral:lncRNA from 1 species